rnacentral:rRNA from 1 species
AACGAACGCUGGCGGCAUGCCUAACACAUGCAAGUCGAACGAGACCUUCGGGUCUAGUGGCGCACGGGUGCGUAACGCGUGGGAACCUGCCCUUAGGUUCGGAAUAACUCCCCGCAAGGGGUGCUAAUACCAGAUAAUUUCUUCUGACCAAAGAUUUAUCGCCUUUGGAUGUGCCCGCGUUGGAUUAGCUAGUUGGUAGGGUAAAAGCCUACCAAGGCGACGAUCCAUAGCUGGUCUGAGAGGAUGGUCAGACACACUGGGACUGAGACACGGCCCAGACUCCUACGGGAGGCAGCAGUGGGGAAUAUUGGACAAUGGGCGAAAGCCUGAUCCAGCAAUGCCGCGUGAGUGAUGAAGGCCUUAGGGUUGUAAAGCUCUUUUACCCGGGAUGAUAAUGACAGUACCGGGAGAAUAAGCUCCGGCUAACUCCGUG